AAACCAACAGGGAUUGCCUUAGUAGCGGCGAGUGAAGCGGCAAGAGCYCAAAUUUGAAAUCUGGUACCUUCGGUGCCCGAGUUGUAAUUUGAAGAAAGCUAUCUUGGAUUUGGCCUUUGUCUAUGUUCCUUGGAACAGGACGUCACAGAGGGUGAGAAUCCCGUGCGAUGAGGUGUCCAUUUCUAUGUAAGAUGUUUUCGAAGAGUCGAGUUGUUUGGGAAUGCAGCUCUAAGUGGGUGGUAAAUUCCAUCUAAAGCUAAAUAUUGGCGAGAGACCGAUAGCGAACAAGUACAGUGAUGGAAAGAUGAAAAGAACUUUGAAAAGAGAGUGAAAAAGUACGUGAAAUUGUUGAAAGGGAAGGGUAUUAGAUCAGACUUGGUAUUUAGUUAUCAUUACUCCUUGUGGGUGGUGCUCUAGCUUUUUACUGGGCCAGCAUCAGUUUUGGUGACAGGAUAAUAGCAAUUGAAUGUGGCUCCUCGGAGUGUUAUAGCUUUUGUUGAUACUGUCUACUGGGACUGAGGUCUGCGGCUUUGCCUAGGAUGCUGGCGUAAUGAUCCAAUACCGC
rnacentral:rRNA from 1 species